UGGUGUUAGUGAGUUAGGUGGAUGAGGUCCACUGCGGUUCGACAAGCGGCGUAGCCGCUUGAACGUCACGUUGGUGACGGCCCGCAGGGUGAGGCUUGGAAAGCCGAAUAAUCCACCUCCCGCCACCG
rnacentral:sRNA from 1 species